GAUGAACGCUAGCUACAGGCUUAACACAUGCAAGUCGAGGGGUAACGAGAGGAAAGCUUGCUUUCCUUGUCGACGACCGGCGCACGGGUGAGUAACGCGUAUCCAACCUGCCCCCGACUAGGGAAUAACCUUGCGAAAGUAAGGCUAAUACCCUAUAAUUUCCUCAGAUGACAUCUGACGAGGAAUAAAGAUUUAUCGGUUGUGGAUGGGGAUGCGUCUGAUUAGCUUGUUGGCGGGGUAACGACCCACCAAGGCAACGAUCAGUAGGGGUUCUGAGAGGAAGGUCCGCCACAUUGGAACUGAGACACUGUCCAAACUCCUACGGGAGGCAGCAGUGAGGAAUAUUGGUCAAUGGGCGGAAGCCUGAACCAGCCAAGUAGCGUGCAGGAUGACGGCCCUAUGGGUUGUAAACUGCUUUUAUACAGGAAUAAAGUUAGCCACGUGUGGUUAUUUGUAGGUACUGUAUGAAUAAGGACCGGCUAAUUCCGUGCCAGCAGCCGCAGUAA
rnacentral:rRNA from 1 species